UGGGGAAUUUUGCACAAUGGGGGAAACCCUGAUGCAGCGACGCCGCGUGAUUUAGAAGGCCUUCGGGUUGUAAAAAUCUUUUCUAUGGGACGAAAAUGACAGUACCAUAGGAAUAAGGACCGGCUAAUUACGUGCCAGCAGCCGCGGUAAUACGUAAGGUCCGAGCGUUGUCCGGAAUCAUUGGGCGUAAAGGGUACGUAGGCGGGUAAGCAAGUUAGAAGUGAAAUCCUAUAGCUCAACUAUAGUAAGCUUUUAAAACUGCUCAUCUUGAGGUAUGGAAGGGAAAGUGGAAUUCCUAGUGUAGCGGUGAAAUGCGCAGAUAUUAGGAGGAAUACCGGUGGCGAAGGCGACUUUCUGGCCAUAACCUGACGCUGAGGUACGAAAGCGUGGGUAGCAAACAGG
rnacentral:rRNA from 1 species